rnacentral:lncRNA from 1 species
GAGGAGCAGCUGAAGAGGAUGCAGUGCCCAGUGGAAGGACACGCAGCGUGUCCUGUAUGGUGAGAAAAGGAGCAGGAGCUGAAAAAGCGAGGCCAGUCUUACAACUCACUGGACUUCUGGCAAGAAUCCCUCCCCAGAACCAACCCUAAUUGCUGACCUGAGUUAUACACAUUCAAGAGAGAAGUAGAAGGUUUUCAUUACAAGUCAUCUAACUCUGCAGGAGUUUGGCUUUGAAAACCCCCUGAAAAGGACUCAUGUGAAUAAAGCGGGGCCAUUCUCAUUGAAGCA